AAAAAACGCGCCGGAUUUGACAGCUAAAUUAUUUUAUCCGAACGGGUUUGAAAAAUGGAUGUAUCGAAUGCGGAAAAAAUUUUUUGUUCUGACCGGACUUUGGGGACACUGCAGAUGCUGCUGCGAGAUCAGGAACAUCCACUCCUAAAAGAAUUAGCCAAUGUGCGCAGCGAAACUCGAGACCAGUGCGUAAAGUGCUUGGAUGUACUCGUCUGGUUCAUUCAGACUGUGCAAAGAAUUGUCAUGCCUCUUACUGUACUGAAUCCUCGUCAAGCUGCUCGUCUAAAGCAGCCGCUUUACGAAGCUGUUACAAAGGGCAACAUCGAUCGCAUUUUCUCUGACAUGAAAGUAGCAUUGUCUGAGCUCCGUCCAUCGACGAACGCCAGGAAAUCGUUGCCCCGACCGACGUGGACUGGUCUGCACGUUACCGUGUACGGCACAGAAGAAGUUGCCAGAAAGCUGUUGCACGCCGGUUUUGAGUUUGUUCUUCCCGGAAAAAUGUCUAGUGAUCCAAUAGAGAGAAUAUUUUCUGCGUUCAAAUAUGGUUCUGGAAAGGUAACAGUUGGGAAAGUGAAAGAAGAAGUUGCAAGGAUGGAAACAUUACAGCAUCUGACGGGAACAACAAACGUCAGCCGCAUGGGACGACAAAAGAGAAAAAUACCGGUCUGACUUUUCCACAUCCCCAUUGAAAAAGAAACGCCAUAUUGACCGGCCGCUGCGCACGAAAGUUUUCAGCUUUGAAGCAGAUAUCGGAUACCUGCGUGCGUUAGGCGAGUUGUCUGCACAUGUGCCGUCAGAUAUAUUUUCCGGACUCCAAAAAAUCGAUCCUCGGCUCUGGAGCGCAGCGACAAUUGCAGAUCUUGUUACAGCAGAUCCGUAUACGAUUUUCAGUUGCAGAAAAGAUGUCGUAGGGACUGGCUUGACUGAUGUUGGCGGAUAUAUUGUUUCAAAAAUGCAAAAGGGAAAGUUUCCGUGCUCUUCGUGCAAAUCUGG